GUUGUCUGGGAUGUAGCUCAGUGGUAGACCACUUGCUUAGUAUGCAGGAGAACCUGAGUUCAAUUCCCAGCCCUGCAAAAAUAAAAAGCAGCUAGAGUUUGCAGUUGAUUAUUUGUAGAAGUUGAGGGUUCAAAGGCUAUUUUUCAUUUUUUAUUGUUUUCAUUCCUACUAGUCUAAGCUGUGGUAUGUCUGCCAAUAUAAUUAUCUAAAAAACUUGUGGUUUACUGUGAAUCUUACCAGGGAUUUACUCCAUUACACAAAUUCCAAACCCACAAAUCUCUCUGGGACAAGCUUUCCUACCUUGAGCUCUUUGUAAUGCUGCUUUGGGAGAAGGCCAUGAAGGUUCUUAAGCCCUCUCCUUCACCUUUUAUUAAAUGGGGAGGACCAAUGAGGCAUACACUUGGAAGGCCUUGUCUGUAUGUGUGCAGUGCAGGAAUGAAGCCGGGGCCUCAAACAUGCAAGAAAAGCACUCUUACCACUGGGUACACCCCGAGCCCGGUCUUUUGAAAGGGUCUUUGGGGCUUCAUCUAAAAUCUCCCUGAGGUCUUCCAGACACACCCUUGGCUUCAUGUUCAGAAUGUUUUCCUGGGUUUGUUCUCUGGACAGGAGCUAUUUCUUAAUUUCAGUGUCCUUUGCCAUCUGGGCAGGCUUGGAAUAAGAAUGUUAAUAACAAUUUUAAAAAGUUAUCAAGUCUUGGUUCCUUUAUUUAAUAGUGCUUCAGCUUUUCUUUUUAUUUCAGGCAGAUAGAAGACAUGUUGCCCUUCAACAAUCUGCCUGGAGACCUGAAUAGUUAUUCUUUGAAUUACUAGACACAUUUCUUAUUCACUAUGAUAUUGAAUGUGGUCGUGUUGCAAAAAUCUUUGUUGUGACAUAGCAAGAAAUCC
rnacentral:lncRNA from 1 species